rnacentral:rRNA from 1 species
AACGAACGCUGGCGGCAUGCCUAACACAUGCAAGUCGAACGAGACCUUCGGGCCUAGUGGCGCACGGGUGCGUAACGCGUGGGAACCUGCCCUUAGGUUCGGAAUAACUCCCCGUAAGGGGUGCUAAUACCGGAUAAUGUCUUCGGGCCAAAGAUUUAUCGCCUUUGGAUGGGCCCGCGUUGGAUUCGCUGGUUGGUAGGGUAAAAGCCUACCAAGGGGACGAUCCAUAGCUGGUCUGAGAGGAGGAUCAGCCACACUGGGGCUGAGACACGGCCCAGACUCCUACGGGAGGGAGGAGUGGGGAAUAUUGGACAAGGGGCGAAAGCCUGAUCCAGCAAUGCCGGGUGAGUGGUGAAGGGCUUAGGGUUGUAAAGCUCUUUUACACGGGAUGAUAAUGACAGUACCGGGUGAAGAAGCACCGGCUAACCACGUG